rfam:Gossypium arboreum cultivar AKA8401 contig_56932_1, whole genome shotgun sequence.
AAUCCAUGCAUUGGGCAUUUUUAAAUUAAAUCUUUGAAUCAUUCUCAAGCUUCAUAUAGUGUUUCAUCCUCCAAUUUUUGAAAAGAUUUGAUGUCAUUUCUAUGCUU